CCAAACUUGGUCAUUUAGAGGAAGUAAAAGUCGUAACAAGGUUUCCGUAGGUGAACCUGCGGAAGGAUCAUUAUUGUAUAAACUUAAUGGAUUGUUGCUGGCUCUGUAAGAGUAUGUGCACAUCUGUUAUUUUUAUCUUUCCACCAUGUGCACUAUGCAUAGUCCUGAACAAAGUUCUAAUCGAGUUUACUUGGUUGUUGGGGAUUGCUAUUAUAAUAAUGGCUCUCCUUGUGUUCAGAUUCUAUGUCUUUCUAUAUACUCCAAUGCAUGUAUAUGAACGUUAUGAUAGGCUUCCUAAAAGCCUAUAACCUAUAAUACAACUUUCAGCAACGGAUCUCUUGGCUCUCGCAUCGAUGAAGAACGCAGC
rnacentral:misc_RNA from 1 species